rnacentral:tRNA from 1 species
GCCGUGGUGGUGGAAUGGUAUACACGUACGCUUGAGGUGCGUAUGCCGAAAGGCUUGGAGGUUCGAGUCCUCUCCACGGCA